CAGAGCCACGGAUCAGUGAACGCAAGAGUCACGGGUUAAUCUGCUCGGUGAAAGGGAAAUGGGAACUUCAGCGUCAGACGCGAACCAACUGCUGGAAAUGGUGGAAAUGCAUCAUACGAAGCCAGUCUACAUAGUCAAGGAUGAAUGUUUAUCGCCGCGCGUUUACGCGCGCGUGCCAUAUCCACGCUGCUCCCGAGACCGAGUUCCGACCCAGAAAUUAAACGUCCAAUUAAUCGUGACCGCGACUCGCCGCUGGAUACACGCUUUCGGAUGUUUCUUUAACUAUUUUAAGCCGAAUACGAAAUGGAACAUAAUCAUUUACUCGGAUAAUAUGCAUAAAUGUUCUUCGUAUAAAAGAUACACCCUGAACUAAAAAUCAACAGCUUUGACUACUGCGUAAACCUCGAUCUAUGCUGCAAUCCAGAUAAAAACUCAUGCCGUGCUAUGACUUACGCGACGACACAGGAUUCACGGCAUCCGCACGAUGGAAAAAGUAUGCUUCAAGGAUUCCUAUAUCAUGCAUCGCGUUUGUAAACCGUGCUCUCCCAUAUUCAUGCAAUUACUACCGAAAACAUUUCCACGGGAUAAAGUAAAUUUCAUUUCGUAGAGACUGACACUUCAAAGAAUCUUUUAUUCCCUGGGAGAAAGGAAG